AGGGGUCGCGUGAUGAUCGGAUGCAUAGUUCAAAUGAUAACCCCUUUUUUGUGGGUUAUGAUUAUUUGAAACGUCUUUCGCUCCUAUCUGAUGACCUCC
rfam:Musa acuminata subsp. malaccensis Doubled-haploid Pahang (DH-Pahang) genomic chromosome, chr6